rnacentral:rRNA from 1 species
AAAAUUCCUGAAUUCUCGCCUUAUGUAAAAUAGUCUUAUCUGGUGAAGCUGAUUGAAUGAUUAGAGGCCUUAGGAUCGAAACGAGCCUAACCUAUUCUCAAACUUUAAAUAGGUAAGAGCCACACCUUUCUUAUGAAGGUGUGAUAGUGAUAUAAUGUGCCCAGUGGGCCACUUUUGGUAAGCAGAACUGGCGCUGUGGGAUGAACCAAACGUAAUGUGCCCAAAUUAACCUAACUUAACAGAAUAUGCCAUAAAUAUUUUGAAUA